rnacentral:rRNA from 1 species
GACGAACGCUGGCGGCGUGCUUAACACAUGCAAGUCGAGCGGUAAGGCUCCUUCGGGAGUACACGAGCGGCGAACGGGUGAGUAACACGUGAGCAAUCUGCCCUUCACUUUGGGAUAACUCCGGGAAACCGGUGCUAAUACCGAAUGCGACCACUUCAGGCAUCUGACGGUGGUGGAAAGUUCCGGCGGUGAAGGAUGAGCUCGCGGCCUAUCAGCUUGUUGGUGAGGUAAUGGCUCACCAAGGCUUCGACGGGUAGCCGGCCUGAGAGGGUGACCGGCCACACUGGGACUGAGACACGGCCCAGACUCCUACGGGAGGCAGCAGUGGGGAAUAUUGGACAAUGGGCGAAAGCCUGAUCCAGCAACGCCGCGUGAGGGAUGACGG